CUGUAAUCUUGUAAGUAAUAAGUAAUUUAUGGUGAAUAGACUGCCCAUUACAAAAAUAGACAGCACAAAACUUUUCAAAGAAGUUAAUACAAAUAAUGCAAAUAACCAUAUCCAGGGGAGGAAGAAAAUAAUGUGACAAGCUCACACAUUAGAGUUCUUUUUGUUUAUAGAAUGUUUCCAAGUUAAGAAAUUCUUAGUGAAAAUAAAUCAUGUCAUUACUUAAGAGGAGGUGCUUCAGUACACACUACUCCAUGCCUUCUCACGUAUCAGCAGAACUCAGAGACAGUUCACCGCAAUAUAACUCUGUCUGGCAGUUUUGCAAAUUCCUGAGAUUGAGCUUCUACAGAACUGCUAUUGAAUCAUGUCAAUAUUUAAUCAGCACCUAAAGACUGCUGGAAAUAAAUAUUUAGAGACAGUGCUUCUAUUUUAUUGUUUCAGUGCACUGAAGAAGUAGGGAAGAAUGCACUUCUGCAUCACCCUUUGAUUUGAUGCAAUUUAAAUUCUCAGUGCUUAUUCUUGCAAGUGAGGAAGAGAUUAAGAACUGGACUCCAAGAUUUUACAAGCUGUAAUGAAGUGACUAAGUGAAGAAUUUCAUUUUUCAAUCUUUUAUUCAGGCAAACGUCUGUUAAAGUCACUGGUAUCUGCAGCACAGAUCUCUUAAAUAUCUCUUAAGAUGUAGGUGGCUAACUAGCAAUUUGGAAAGAAGCCAGUUAAGAUGAAGAAUGGAAAAGAAAACUCAAGAGAUCCUGAUUUACAGUUCUUUAAUCUGUCUCCCAGUAUUGCAACGACAAAUAUUAAUGACAAUGUAGAAAUAAACAAGGACAACGAAGGGCACGCAAAGAAGAACUGGAAGCCAACAAUAAAUGGAAACAAUGUGAGAAGAGCAGGUGUGUUUUCACUCAGAGGAAGCAGCUACGGAUAUGAAAAUGACUUAGCAGCUGGUGAAUAAGGAGACUGAAGCUGUGCCAGACAAACUUUACAGAUAAGGCUGUGUUCAAACAAGCGCAGCGCCAGAACACCAAAUCUACACAGGAUAUGACUUGAAGCUUUCUCUUCUUGAAGUUGGUAAAGAUUUACCACAGAAAUUCAGCAGGAUGAUUUAUCUUCGGUGUAUGAGGAUAUCAACAAAUUUUAGUUAAAACUUGAGAGGAAUGAUUGUUUGAUGACUGCUCAUACCUUUCUUGUUUCACCUGGUGAUAGACUUUCAGUGCAGUGGUACACAGUAAGAUUUACAGGAACCCUCACCUGAGCACCUUAUUUUCUCUUGCACACUCUGAGUAGUCAAGCUCAGAACCACUAAAUUCUCAGUGAGCGAUGAAGAAAGGCAUGCUGUCAAAGUCACAAAGCUAUCUUUUCAUUUAUAAAACAAUUUAAAAUAAAACAGGAGCUGGAACAACUAUAUCAACAAGAGAAAGGCUGAAGAGAUGAAUCACUCCAAAAUAUUUUUUCAGUGUGCAGAGAAACAGAAAUAUUUCUUUUUUAAUUCCAUGAUAUCAUACAAUCAAGCAAUAUUGAGAGUACACCAACCCAAUGCAUUAGGGAAGUUAUAGGUACGUUUUCAGUUGCUAUAUCAUCCUGCAAAAAUAAUUAAAAAGUGGACUGGCAUUUUCCUUAAAAAUAAAAAAUAAAAAAAUAAAAACAAAUUAAAGCAUUUCAGUAGCUUUCCCUACAAUUUUUUUCUUUAGGAGGAAGCUUGGAAUGUUUAUGCUAUUGUAUGGAUUUUAUGUAUAGUUGAUUAGAUCCAAAACUAAAGAAAACUAGGGAAAAUUAACUUGUAUGCUUGGAGAUUCUGUUCAAAGUUCCUGGAUUAAAUAAGCAGCAUUAAAAUUAUAGAUGUCAUCACCAUUUAAAUAACGGGGAAAACCUUUCACCGCCACAGGUUUUGAGGUCCUUUUCCUACGAUCUGUUUACAACCCACUGAACCCUGCUGUGUAUUCACAUUGAUCUUUCUUCUGCUAAGCUUUGUGAGUAGUUACAGUGAUAGCUAACAACAAAAGCCAUGAAAUUAUGGAGCUGAUCUGUUGGUCACUGCAGUGUAACUGUAAGCAUAGUCAAAGACAAACUAUGGAAAGCAUCUUUAGAAACCUGCUAUAAUUCAGUGAUCACCACCCGUAAUGAAAAUGCUGAGUCGUGGCCUGAGCCAGUGAUUGAGCACCUGGUGGGAAGGCAGGGCCAACCCAGGGGAGCUCAGGUGCAUGCAAUGCAUUGAGUGACCGGAAGGGGUGGAGCCAGGAUCCAUCUCUUCCCAGAACUCUUUAAAGGGUUGGCAAAGGAAAUGAGGACAUCUUUUGUUGGAGAUCCCUGCAUACCUGAGGCCUUCCAAAGGCAAGCAGCUCUUUUCCUUUGUUUCUGCAUCUGUGGCUGCUGCAUCUGGGCUCAUUCUUGUUUGCUACAGCCAAAGACUUUGCCACCCCACUAUUACUGCGGUACUUUCCAUCCCAUUAUAGCAUUACGCCAUCUACAA
ensembl:lncRNA